UAAAUUUUUGCGGAAUUACUCCGUAGUUCAUUUAAGGUAACACGGAGUGAUUCUAUUUCAAGCGGAGUUGAAAUUACACACCACAGCGGCGACCCACUCCACUCAUCACCCGUCGCUCCCAACCAGUUUGACUCCAAGUAUGGAGUAAGUGAUGUUGGAGCGGAACACAACUUCAAUGCUAUUGUUAGCCACAGACAAUUGCAACUUAAGUAUGCUCCGUAGGGAAACAGAGAAUAUGAAUGCAUGCAAAA